CCUUUUGUAUAAUGGGUCAGCGACUUAUAUUCUGUAGCAAGGUUAACCGAAUAGGGGAGCCGAAGGGAAACCGAGUCUUAACUGGGCGUUAAGUUGCAGGGUAUAGACCCGAAACCCGGUGAUCUAGCCAUGGGCAGGUUGAAGGUUGGGUAACACUAACUGGAGGACCGAACCGACUAAUGUUGAAAAAUUAGCGGAUGACUUGUGGCUGGGGGUGAAAGGCCAAUCAAACCGGGAGAUAGCUGGUUCUCCCCGAAAGCUAUUUAGGUAGCGCCUCGUGAACUCAUCUCCGGGGGUAGAGCACUGUUUCGGCAAGGGGGUCAUCCCGACUUACCAACCCGAUGCAAACUGCGAAUACCGGAGAAUGUUAUCACGGGAGACACACGGCGGGUGCUAACGUCCGUCGUGAAGAGGGAAACAACCCAGACCGCCAGCUAAGGUCCCAAAGUCAUGGUUAAGUGGGAAACGAUGUGGGAAGGCCCAGACAGCCAGGAUGUUGGCUUAGAAGCAGCCAUCAUUUAAAGAAAGCGUAAUAGCUCACUGGUCGAGUCGGCCUGCGCGGAAGAUGUAACGGGGCUAAACCAUGCACCGAAGCU
rnacentral:rRNA from 1 species